GGAGAAUGUUCUGGAAGUGGCUWUUUCUAGCAUGUGGGAGAGCAUGUUCAGACCUCCUAGUUUAUUCCCGGGAUGAAUUGAUCAGCUCUGUGGAAGACCAAGAAGAGUCAGUGUCCUCCUCCAUGGCGAAUUCUGGAUGGAUUCUGCCAAGCUUGUUCCUGGCACAUGUGUUGUGACACGACAUUAUUGCUGUAUGUCUGCAACAGUUCUGACGCAUACUGAGCAUGAAUCUGUGCUUGCUGAGUG